CCUACGGGUGGCAGCAGUAGGGAAUCUUCCACAAUGGGCGAAAGCCUUAUGGAGCAACGCCGCGUGGGUGAAGAAGGUCUUCGGAUCGUAAAACCCUGUUGUUAGAGAAGAAAGUGCGUGAGAGUAACUGUUCACGUUUCGACGGUAUCUAACCAGAAAGCCACGGCUAACUACGUGCCAGCAGCCGCGGUAAUACGUAGGUGGCAAGCGUUAUCCGGAUUUAUUGGGCGUAAAGGGAACGCAGGCGGUCUUUUAAGUCUGAUGUGAAAGCCUUCGGCUUAACCGGAGUAGUGCAUUGGAAACUGUGAGACGUGAGUGCAGAAGAGGAGAGUGGAACUCCAUGUGUAGCGGUGAAAUGCGUAGAUAUAUGGAAGAACACCAGUGGCGAAAGCGGCUCUCUGGUCUGUAACUGACGCUGAGGUUCGAAAGCGUGGGUAGCAAACAGGAUUAGAUACCCCAGUAGUC
rnacentral:rRNA from 1 species